UACGUUAGGGUACAAGCGUUGUCCGGAAUUAUUGGGCGUAAAGAGCUCGUAGGUGGUCUGUCACGUCUGCUGUGGAAACGCAAGGCUCAACCUUGCGCGUGCAGUGGGUACGGGCGGACUAGAGUGCAGUAGGGGAGUCUGGAAUUCCUGGUGUAGCGGUGAAAUGCGCAGAUAUCAGGAGGAACACCGGCGGCGAAGGCGGGACUCUGGGCUGUGAACUGACGCUGAGGAGCGAAAGCGUGGGGAGC
rnacentral:rRNA from 1 species